rnacentral:rRNA from 1 species
CCUACGGGCGGCAGCAGUGAGGAGUAUUGGUCAAUGGACGCUAGUCUGAACCAGCCAAGUAGCGUGAAGGAUGACUGCCCUAUGGGUUGUAAACUUCUUUUAUAAAGGAAUAAAGCGAAGCACGUAUACCUUUUUGCAUGUACUUUAUGAAUAAGGAUCGACUAACUCCGUGCCAGCAGCCGCGGUAAUACGGAGGAUCCGAGCGUUAUCCGGAUUUAUUGGGUUUAAAGGGAGCGUAGACGGGUUGUUAAGUCAGUUGUGAAAGUUUGCGGCUCAACCGUAAAAUUGCAAUUGAUACUGGCAGUCUUGAGUACAGUUGAGGUAGGCGGAAUUCGUGGUGUAGCGGUGAAAUGCUUAGAUAUCACGAAGAACCCCGAUUGCGAAGGCAGCUUACUAAACUGUGACUGACACUGAUGCUCGAAAGUGUGGGUAUCAAACAGGAUUAGAUACCCGAGUAGUC